CUGGAGGAAGUGUUCUUGCGUAGCCC
rnacentral:piRNA from 1 species